CAGACAGAUGGACAGACAGACAGAGGACAACACCUAGAGAGAGAGGGAGACGGAGACACCUAGAGAGAGAGGGAGACGGAGACACCUAGAGAGAGAGGGAGACGGAGAGAUGAGAAAAUAGAGAGAAUUGAAGAUCAGAUAAUGAAAGAACGGUGACCAGUGAAUGGAGAGAAGAUAAAUAAUAACAGAAAAAAAUGUGGAGAGAGAGAGAGAACUGAGCAGACACUGUCUGGACCAUGUGCACAGAGGAAAGAAAGGUGACAAGGGAAAGAGCUGCCACUGAGCGAAAAAGAAGAAGAAGAAGGAGAUAUGUGUAUAUAUAUAUAUGCCAGGGGGUCUGGGAACCAAACACAGCCCAUAGCUGUGAGAACCCCAUCGGGACAAUGAACAGGGCUCAAAUUAGCAGUCAAGGCCACCUGUCUGCAACACGGCCAGAGAGGAAACAGGAAGGAGAGGGGGAAACGGAGGCCAUUCAGGGCACAGCUCACACUUACCCUGCAGAAAAGUUGCCUCUCUCUUCAAAUACCUCUCACGUCGCCAGCUCUCACAGAGGAGAGAGGGAGGGGAGUGAAAUGGGCCAUGACUGUUGGUAUGAAGCUGCCUGGACCGGAUGAUGACGCUGCUAUACAGACUGGCUGCAGCUUGCAGAAAAACUCCCUUUGUAGAUGAGUGGCCCAGUCAGGAUUACUUACUGCAGGGGUCUUAACCCACCAACCAGCAGUACUACAUCUCAGAGGCUAAAAACAGAAACGGAGACACACUUACCAAGGCCUCAUUACACUGCUCAAAAAAAUAAAGGGAACACUUAAACAACACAAUGUAACUCCAAGUCAAUAACACUUCUGUGAAAUCAAACUGUCCACUUAGGAAGCAACACUGA